GAGGAAUUUUUGUUGGUUCUUCAAUCCAAAGUUUGACAUUGAGUAAAAUAAAGACACUACCAGAACAAAGUUAUUAUAAAAAUGAAAAAUUGAUUUGAGAGAGAUUACCCCAACUCAAUACAUCUUUUACGGGUGUGGUAGACUUGGGUAGUUGUGUUUUAAUCAAAGGUUUACAACUUUUUUUCAAAAAAUUAUACGAGGUGAGUUUCCCUUUUUUCUACAAGAAAUUACAGGAGAAGAGUUUGUAGUUUUCUCCAUAGUAAUAGUAGGUUGACACGCCUACGUGUUACCUACACUCAUUUGACACGGUCCAGGUAAGUUUUUUGAAAAAAAAAAUUGUUCAGUAGACGUGGGUAAAAGGGGAAAAAGAAAAAUAUGGCUUUCGGUCUUCUUUUGCUCCUCUUUCAAAAAUCACAUUUAGGUUUUCUUUCUUUCAAGACGCAUUGUUCUUCAUCAUUCUUCGUCGGUGCUCUUCUUCAUCGUCUUUCAUUGGCACCCUUGAGCUGCUUCAAUCGGUGGUGUGUUUGAGUUAGGCUUCUAAUCGCUGCAUUCUCUGUUUUUACAAGCUGAUUUUCUUUGGAAGGUAAUAACAGAGAAAUAAUUUUAUUUAAUCUUUGGUCUUUGAGUGAGAAACUGCAUUACCUUGAGUCCUUGGUACCUUCCAAGCAUGAGAAUGGUGGCCAAUGGGUUUGUGCCAGGUGACAAAGUAAGAUGUAAAAAUGUAUAGUGGUUGAACUUGAGAUGACAAAGUCUCUUCUCUCAAGUCAUUAGACACACCUACAAAAACAAUCAUUUCUUAGAAUAUAAAAGUCAGGUAUUUUGAUUGUUCAAAAUCAUUAUUCUAUACACUGAUGUCUAUCUUUGGUCCAUAGAAUGCUUCAUCCCCUUCAUUCAACUACAAGGUUUUACACAAAUAUAAGCACAAAGAUAGUAAAGCUUACAAAUGUCAUAUUCCACAGAAAAUAAUAAAACAUUAUGAAAAUAAAAAAUGGAGUGUGUAGGUGUGAGUGAAAAACCUUCACCCAUAUCAACAUAAAGAUGAAGAGAACAAAUGGGUGUUGUCAUAAACAAAAUGAAACUGCCAACAUAAGCAAAUUAGAUGAUAUAAUGCAAAAAGGAAUCAAGGGCGGACUGGAGGAAUGAGCCUGUAGUAGAGCAUUUCGUGUUUUCAAAACUAAAUCAAAAACAAAACUCUCUGUCUCACGCCCUUGCCCCUUUACUCUAGGGUUUUCGAAAAUGAACAAAAAAGAAAACGAAAGAUAGAGAAAUGAUGAGAAAAGAAGAAAUGAAUUGAAAGGGGACAAAC
rnacentral:lncRNA from 1 species